rnacentral:lncRNA from 1 species
UACUUUAAAUUUCUUUUGGGUAAAAAUGUACAGAAUUUACCUAAAUUAAUUAUAAGUCGUUUUAAAUCGACAAUUGAACCUGUCAAAAUUUUUAUUUUUUUAUCCAAUACAUUAAUUUAUUUGAUUUAAGUCAACCAACGAUACUUUGAUUUUAGAAUUUAAGUUAAUUCUUUAUUUUAAUAAUAUCAUAGUUGCGAGAAUUAUAUACAGUAUAAUGACUGAACAAAUGAAGAUAAACGGUACAUUCAAACCUUUAAUGUGUAUGGUAUCAAAUACCCGAAUCUAUACUUGAAACUUUAAUGGGUAAACUCUUUUUUUACCAGUAUAUUACUCAUUUUUAAUUGGGUCUGGAUCGAGUCUAGAUCGUAUAUUGGAUACCUGGUAUUUUGGACAUCUUCAUGCACCA